GAUGAACGCUGGCGGCGUGCCUAAUACAUGCAAGUCGAACGCAUUGUGGUUGAAAUGAUAUGAAGAACUUGUUCAGAUUUGAUUUUCAACAUUGCAAUGAGUGGCGAACGGGUGAGUAACACGUGGGAAACCUACCUCUUAGCAGGGGAUAACAUUUGGAAACAAAUGCUAAUACCGUAUAAUAAUUAAAACCGCAUGGUUUUAGUUUAAAAGAUGGUCUUGCUAUCACUAAGAGAUGGUCCCGCGGUGUAUUAGUUAGUUGGUGAGGUAAUGGCUCACCAAGACAAUGAUACAUAGCCGAGUUGAGAGACUGACCGGCCACAAUGGGACUGAGACAGGCCCAUACUCCUACGGGAGGCAGCAGUAGGGAAUCUUCCACAAUGGACGAAAGUCUGAUGGAAGCAACGCCGCGUGUGUGAUGAAGGGUUUCGGCUCGUAAAACACUGUUGUAAAGAGAAGAAUGACAUUGAGAGU
rnacentral:rRNA from 1 species